UCACAGCAGACAUCAAAGGGACUCUCCCUCCCCCAAUGUGCACCUGUGCAGCUGGGCUAGGGGAAGCAGAUCCGGGAGCAAAGCUAUCAGCCAUGCAUGCUGCCAGCUUUCUGCAAAGGGAAACUUUGAAGUAAUUUUCAAAGGUUAAAGGAAACUUGCCAGUCUGAAAGCCACCAGAAGAAUUCUACAUGCAUUUGACUUCUUCCCAUCUAAAGAGGAGGCACUGCCCUACAACCCUAGAAAGAAUGAGGAGAGACACUGACAGUGGAUAAAGGAGUGAGUUUGUUCUGAGGAGGCUGGUGUGAAGACACUGAAAGUCAUCUCUGCAGGAAGACAAGAACUCUAAGGAAACAUAGAUGCCUUCCACUAAUGAUGUUUUAUUCACACUAUGCUUGGCUGGACGCAUCCCUGCAGUUGGAGGAGAAAGAGGGAGAAGAUGACCUUUUCUCUGUUGCUUACAGGGCAUCCUUGACUGAGCUGGAAGGACAUCAGCAAGCUGCACUUGGUGUUUUCUGGACAAAACCCUCCACAUGGAACAUUCAGAACAAUCUACUCCUGAUUUCCCCAAGAUCCUGGCAGAGAAGGAACUGGAACUGAAGGACUGGGAGAAUAAGCCCUAGGACCUUUCCUCUCUCUGUGGCUGUUCCCACCAGGCUUCCUGCCCCAUGGGUGCAGGGAGAUGUCUGUGGUAGAUUGAAGCUUUUGUCAUUUAGAAGCCCAGGCCUCAGCCUGAGGAAAGGCAGGAAGGAAAAAUGAGGAGAACACAAAAGGACCUGGCACCUGACUGAAUUGUCUGGGCCCUGUGCAAUGGGCCCCAGAAAUUUCCCUACUUGCCCUCCUGGUCCCACCCUAAAUGAGCCUGCCAAACCAACUCAUCCCAUGACUUGGCCCUGCUGAACCCUAUAAAACUCAGACCCGUGUAGCCCAUUGCCAUUUUCUCUCC